rnacentral:rRNA from 1 species
GUCGACGGCCAUGCCACCCUGAACGCGCCCGAUCUCGCCUGACCUCGGAAGCUAAGCAGAGUUGGGCCUGGUUACUACUCAGAUGGGAGACCACCUGGGAAAACUGGGUGCUGUAGGCU